GACGGAAAGAAGGAUUUAUCGUUGUACCCAAUACAUAGGAUGAUAGAACUCAUUAACUGGUUAAAGCAGACGCUACGUUAUAUAAGUGCAACGUGCACCGCCUUCUCCUUCGGGAUGAAAUGGCGUUAUAAUUAUGUUAUGUUUGAUAGAAGCAUUCGGUGCUCAGCAUAAACUCCUUGCGAGUUUUUUCUUGUAGCUUUUUUAUGGAUCUGUGUGAUUCAGUGGUCUUCGAAAUAGGUCUAAUUGAUAGAGGGCUAGGGGGUAGGGUGGAUAAUCUGGUCUUAUUAGGAAAAGCAAAAGGAUUGGUAAACUCAUAGUGUUUUUGAUAGAAUGAGUGAGGUAGUUAGUAGGUACCUAUAGGUAUUUAUUAUUAGUAGGUAAUGUUAUGCUAGUAUUCAAAAAUCUAUUACGUUGCUUACAAGUUCUUACAGUUAUAGGGUAAACGCAGAAAAAUAGCUUAGAAAGUAUUUAUCUUGGAAUAUUUUGUAAUAAAAUUUAGAAACUUUGCAUUGCUAAUUGCUAUUUAAAAAAAAUUGUACAGGUAAAACUAGAGAUAUUUUCAUAAUUGUAUAUUACAUCUACUGCUUAGAGAUACUUAGGUAUUUUUAUAAUUACUAUCGUGAGAUAUACUACAUUAACUAAAAAGAACGGAUUACUCACGCAAAUAUACUGAGAAAAGAUCUACUAGUUUCGAGUCACAGCUUUCCUCAGUAUGUUGGCGGUAAUAAACCGUUAUUUUUACUUAUCUUACUAACUGCCGUACUCAGAGUCAUUUAAUGGUUACGUUACUUAACCCAAUCCUUAACAAUUGUUUUCAAUACAAAAUGGUUACUAAGGAAUAGUUUAAGUAAUCAUUAAAUGUCUCUGAGUGUGGCAGUAAGGUAUUGUUAUAAUAUUUAGGUCGUAACAUCAUCAUAAGUGUAAUUAUUCAUCCUCACAAUUUGUUAAGGAAUACGUAGGUCAAAGUUAGUUACCUAAAGCUAAGUGUAUUCUUAAUUUCUUAGUUUAAGUUGUCUAAAUCGAUUUUUGAAAAAAUACAAAGUUUUGUUAUAGAACUGACAUACAUACUUAGCUAAAUUAUUAUCAAGUCUAUGUAUAUGCUAGUCAUAUACCGUAAAACAGACUGAAAAGAAUCCGAGGGGUUAAUACAUACAGAAGAGGGAUGAAUUAACGUUGGGAAAAUGUCCUAACAUCUAUUCACCCCAUUCCUGUGUCUAUUCACUCUUUGAAUUCUAUUCAUUUUUAUUUAUUUAUUUUACCGUUAUAGUUCGGUAUCCAUCUAUAUUAUAUUGCAUUUAAAUUAAAAUUUUCUCUCAUCAUUAGGUACUUUGUAGAUAUAAUUACAUAUUAUAUCCUUUUAGAAUUACAUAUAAUAUAGUUAUAAAAAAUCCACUGGGAACAGACAGACAGAAAGCGUAGUGUUAGAAAUAAGGUUUUAAAAUUUAUGUGUAAAUACUAAGAAAUAGGUACUAUUAAUAGGUUUAUAUUUAUGCAAACCAACAUCGCUAUAAUAUUUAAUAUACAGACUGACUGGUGAGAUACGUUCAAUAUUUGAGGACGUGAUAGUAUACGAACAUAUAUCAUGAAAUAAAAUAACAAAAAUAUGAAAUAUUAAAUAACUUCUUAGUAAACUUCGUACACAGUACACCGAGAGUCCAGUAUUUAUUUAUUUAACUGCGGGAUACUUGGACACCGCACGGACGCCUGGGUUGCGCAGCGCGCUAUCAACACAGAAUACAUAGGUACCUACACUGUACAGCUGUUGCCUACCUACAUCGAGACCUAUCCCAAUUUCACUUAUUUUUAGAGACAUUUCGAUAAAAAAUUAAGCACCUAUUUUUUAUAUCAAGUUAACGAGAAUCGAGUACCGAGUACUCUCUAUAAGUAUUGAGCCUAUUUCACCAGUCACCCGGUAUACUUAGGUAUCCAUCUGUUUUAUAUUGCAUUUAAAUUAUUUUUUUCUUGGUAAGGAUAUACCUAUAAAUCAUCAUCACUUAGUAUAUUUACAUGUAUUCUAGAAUUACAUAUAAUAUGUAGCCAAUACUACAUAUGAAUACACUAGGAACAAACAGACAGAAAGCGUAGUGUUAGAAAUAAGGUUUUAAAAUUAAUGUGUAAAUACUAAGAAAUACUAUUAAUAGGUUAAUAUUUAUGCAUACCAACAUCUCUAUUAGAUAUAUAGGUAUCCAUCUGUAUUAUAUCGCAUUUAAAUUAUUUUUUUCUUGGUAAGGAUAUAUAAAUCAUCAUCACCUAGUAUAUUUACAUGUAUUCUAGAAUUAUAUAUGUAUGUAGUUAAUACUACAUAUGAAUACACUAGGAACAAACAGACAGAAAGCGUAGUUUUAGAAUUAAUGCGUAAAUACUAAAAAAAUGUAAUAUAGGCAUCGCUAGAAUAUUAUAUAUAUAGGUAUCCAUCUGUAUUAUAUUGCAUUUAAAUUAUUUUUUUCUUGGUAAGGAUAUACCUAUAAAUCAUCAUCACUUAGUAUAUUUACAUGUAUUCUAGAAUUAUGUAUAAAUGUAGUUAAUACUACAUAUGAAUACACUAGGAACAAACAGACAGAAAGCGUAGUGUUAGAAAUAAGGUUUUAAAAUUAAUGUGUAAAUACUAAGAAAUAAUAUUAAUAGGAUAAUAUUUAUGCAUACCAACAUCUCUAUUAGAUAUUAUAGGUAUCCAUCUGUAUUAUAUUGCAUUUAAAUUAAAAUUUUCUUGGUAAGGAUAUAUAAGUCAUCAUUACUUUGUAUAAUUAUAUAUAUCCUUCUAGAAUUAUAUUAUAUAAUAUGUAAAUAUUAAAGUUUACUAAUAAUAGGUUCAUAUUUAAGCAUACUUACAUCGCUAGUAUGUUGGGUAAUCAUCUACAUUAUAUUGCAUUCUUUCAUUAUUCCUUCAUUCAUUCAUUUAUUCAUUUCUAACAUUUUCUCGAUAAGGAUAUCAUUACUUAAAAUAACGGUGUAAACCGUUAUUUUAAGACGACAACCGAGGUUUAAUUAAUUUAGCAUGUCUCACGACAGUUAUUAUAAAAAUAUUACUUAGAAUAUUUACAUAUAGGUAUCCAUCUAGAAUUAUAUUUGUAUUUAAUACUUCUGAUGAAGUCAGUGUGGACAGACGACAACCGAGUUUUAAUUAAUUUAGCAUGUAUUGUCUCACGAUAGUUAUUUUAAAAAUAUUACUCAGAAUAUUUACGUAUAUCCAUCUAGAAUUAUACCUAUUUGUAUUUAAUAUUUCAGAUGAAGUCAGUGUGGACAGACGACAACCGAGUUUUAAUUAAUUUAGCAUGUAUUGUUUCACGAUAGUUAUUAUAAAAAUAUUACUUAGAAUAUUUACGUAUAUCCAUCUAGAAUUAUAUUUGUAUUUAAUACUUCAGAUGAAGUCAGUGUGGACAGACGACAGCCCAGUUUUAGGAAUAGUGUAAUGUAAUGUCUAGAUACUAAGAUUUAUAUGUAAUAGGUUCAUAUUUACGUCUACUUAUAAUUUAAAUAUGUACCAAGUUUCUAUUUCAUCCUCUAUGUAUGUACGCAUUUAAUAAUUAAUCUAUUGAUAUUUUUGAAUUAUGGUCGAGUAUGAUCGAUAACCGUGUCUUUCGACAGUAUAUUUAAAUUCAAGGCAACGUAUGAAUCAUUUUAAAAAUGUGAUGUCUAAAUAAUGUACCUAUAAAGAAUAACUUUGGCACAAAAAAUAGGGAUGAGCUUACGGUAUGAAAAUUAAACUAUCCGUCAGUCUGGUAAUGAAAAAAUAUUAGAGAUGCACUUAUUUGUCGUAAUAAAAAAAAAUAGAUAGGUAUACCUAUAUUGAACUAAAAUUUAGAAAUACGGGAGCUCGCCAUCGCUCAGUAUAAAAUACUAAGAUGUGACUAUCGGCGAAAGUUUGACUCCAUAAAAAAAAGACGACAAUAUAUUCUGUUAUUGAGAAGAUGACAAUACUAAAAAAAUUAUCGUCAUCCCUAUAAAAUUAUCGAAAUUAAUGUUAUGUGAUAUUAUGGCAUAAUUAUGUAUGUAUAAUGAUGAUGAUGAUGAUGUAUUUUAAGGUGGAAUAUUGAAGGGUAAUGGAAAUUGACCGUAGGAUUGGCACAGUGGGUUGGCAACCGGCUCCUGUGCAAUGUGUCACACACGGGCUUAAUUCCCGCAUUCAAUUGUGUGAUCGACACAUUAUUGUUCCGAGUUUGGGUAUGAUAUACAUAAUUAUAUGAAAAUGUAUCUUUAUAAAUAUGUUUAACAGCAGCCAAGAUUCAAUAGAACAGAUUGUUUUUGCACUACAUUAAUUGAUAAGUAGUACCUAGAAAUUAGCUGUUAUGUUUACCUAAUUAAUAGUAUAAAAUACAUGAGCGUCUUUAAAAACAUAAAGGUACGUCUACGCUAGACGAACCGAGCACGAGCCGAACAAAAUUCGUCUAGUGUGGACCAACUUACAAGCCUCGAACGAGCGCGCUAGCGAGCAUUUCGUUCGUGCUCGGCUGCGUUCCGCCUGUUGUCGGUUUAUGACGAACAUAAAGGGAUCCGCCCGUGCUCCGCUCUCCUAGCGUAGAUGUACCUUAACCAUCCUUCAGCGUCUCUUCGAUUUAUAACUAUUCAGUGUAUUUAAAAUAACAUGUAUCUACCUAUGUAUUAUGCUAAAAUGCUAUUUAUGUAAACAAAGCGCUCCACCAAAAUUAAGAUAUUGUUGAUUCAACCACUGCUUCUUUGUAAUAUCUGUGUGUAUUUAAGAAUAAAUAUUUUUUUUCUUCUAUGAGCAA